rnacentral:sRNA from 1 species
UAUGAAAUCAGUAAAACGUUUUCAAACAUUCCAAAGGAAAAGGGGUUAUCGGGGAUGGGUACAAUUGUAUGCCAAACAUGCAAUGCGACAAUCGAUCAUUUUGAAGAUGAAAAAGUAACGGUAUUGUACGGUCAAUGUUGCACAUGCGAUUGUGAAGACGAGGAAUAACAUAUCGAACGGAACGAGCUUUUGGGGGAUGAGGAGACAUAUAUAGAGGGAAGGGAUCGGCAUAGCCGGUCUCUUUUUA